rnacentral:rRNA from 1 species
AGAGUUUGAUCCUGGCUCAGGACGAACGCUGGCGGCGUGCUUAACACAUGCAAGUCGAACGGAAAGGCCCUUCGGGGUACUCGAGUGGCGAACGGGUGAGUAACACGUGGGUGAUCUGCCCUGCACUUUGGGAUAAGCCUGGGAAACUGGGUCUAAUACCGAAUAUGACCAUGCACUUCCUGGUGUGUGGUGGAAAGCUUUUGCGGUGUGGGAUGGGCCCGCGGCCUAUCAGCUUGUUGGUGGGGUAAUGGCCUACCAAGGCGACGACGGGUAGCCGGCCUGAGAGGGUGACCGGCCACACUGGGACUGAGAUACGGCCCAGACUCCUACGGGAGGCAGCAGUGUGGAAUAUUGCACAAUGGGCGCAAGCCUGAUGCAGCGACGCCGCGUGAGGGAUGACGGCCUUCGGGUUGUAAACCUCUUUCAGCACAGACGAAGCGCAAGUGACGGUAUGUGCAGAAGAAGGACCGGCCAACUACGUGCCAGCAGCCGCGGUAAUACGUAGGGUCCGAGCGUUGUCCGGAAUUACUGGGCGUAAAGAGCUCGUAGGUGGUUUGUCGCGUUGUUCGUGAAAACUCACAGCUUAACUGUGGGCGUGCGGGCGAUACGGGCAGACUUGAGUACUGCAGGGGAGACUGGAAUUCCUGGUGUAGCGGUGGAAUGCGCAGAUAUCAGGAGGAACACCGGUGGCGAAGGCGGGUCUCUGGGCAGUAACUGACGCUGAGGAGCGAAAGCGUGGGGAGCGAACAGGAUUAGAUACCCCGGUAGUCCAA